rnacentral:rRNA from 1 species
UACGAAGGGGGGCUAGCGUUGUUCGGAAUUACUGGGCGUAAAGCGCACGUAGGCGGACUAUUAAGUCAGGGGUGAAAUCCCGGGGCUCAACCCCGGAACUGCCUUUGAUACUGGUAGUCUCGAGUCCGGAAGAGGUGAGUGGAAUUCCGAGUGUAGAGGUGAAAUUCGUAGAUAUUCGGAGGAACACCAGUGGCGAAGGCGGCUCACUGGUCCGGUACUGACGCUGAGGUGCGAAAAGCGUGGGGGAGCAAACAGGG